rnacentral:lncRNA from 1 species
UUCUCAGAGACUACGUUCAUGUUCAUUUCUACAUGGCACUGCUCUGUUUGAAAUUCUGUGAUUUGAUGUACACUGACUUGAGCAUCCCCUGUUAAAUUUUCCCAUCUUCUGUGCCAUAGUUCUAUGUUGUUUCGGGUGUGCAGAAAUCCAUUCUUCAUGCGCUAAUAUACAGACCACAAAUUUGGCAGAAACAAUAAUGGUGACCAAACAGCAACACCGUUGCUUAUGGCCGAGUAAAGGAUCCUAACUCUAGCUCUGGAUACAGUAUUUGGCUCAUUCUGGGAACCUGACUUUGAUAAGAAGACGAAGAACUUUGUGAAUUGAAGUAAAUCACGUGAGAAUCACUGACCUGACCUAAGAAAAGUUUGGAUUUCUGUGAAAGAGUAUUCUACCACUCCUAAAGAAAUAUGCAUUUGGCUGCAGUUUUCCACUUUUCACAUAGGGGAGUGAGCUUUCUCUUGUUUGAACAACCAUCAAGAACCGGGAUAUUAUCUCAUUUCAGGUGAAAAUAGUAUUCAUGUAUGCUUAUCACAAAUUCAGUAUUCAGGAUUCAGUAUUU